rnacentral:lncRNA from 1 species
GUUCGCGGGUCUAAAUCAUUUAUAUAGGAUUUCUCUAUAUUUUUCUAUAAAUGAACUUUAUCUUAUAGUUAAUAGAAAAUUAAAAUAAAAAAGUGGGGUCACCGUUCAUUUGCGCUCACAAUCUGCCUUCGAAAGAAGCAUACAUUUUUGUAAAGGUGGUUGAAGUAAUAGGAGAAAUAUAGGUAAUAUCGAAAUAAAAAAAAAAAUUUAUUACAAAA